rnacentral:lncRNA from 1 species
CUUGGAUGAAGUGGCACGUGGCCUUAUCUCCUUGGUUUAAACGUCUGUUCUUAGGCAUGGGAUUUGACUCGCUAGCUUACGGCGCAUUUAUUGCUUGUGCAGGGCCUCCAUGCUAGUGACAAGACUUGACCUUUAUGCUUAUGACAAACAUUCCAUCAAUCAUUCGAAUAAGAUCCGUGCAGGCGAUCUCUUGGGAGAAGUGACCAUGGAGGAUGCUUGUGGUUGAGGCUCGCGAAUCAACUUCGGGGCUUCGUCUUCCAAGCCUCGGGCCAUGGGCCUCGGUUAGAAGCAGCUCGGAUAUAACCCACCUCGGUAAUAUGGGCCACCUCGACAGGAAUGCCACGUGGAUCAGGAUGAGUGGGCCACUGGCCCAAGUGGGUAGGACAGGUGUGACAACACGCAACAAUAGUCCCCCAAGUCCAAGUAUAAUCAUUAAUGUAAUGCGUGGACUUUAGAGUAAAAAAAUUUUUGAACCCCCAAAUAAUAGUCCACCAAGUUCAAGUAUAG